GCCGGGUGUAGUGGCACACACCUGUAAUCCCAGUGGCUCAGGAGGCUGAGGCAGGAGGAUCACAAGUUCAAAGCCAGCCUCAGCCACAGCGAGACGCUAAGCAACUCAGUGAGACCCUGUCUCUA
rnacentral:sRNA from 1 species